rnacentral:lncRNA from 1 species
CCUAGAUGUUAAUUAUCCCCUUUUCUCAGUUAUUUGCGAGACUGAGUCUCCAACCAUGAACCCAAGCCAGGCCCCCACAUUUCUUAGAAUCAUUCCCCAGGAGCUGGGCCAGGAACUGUGGCAUCAGCCAGGCCCACAUGCUGGAUGCUCCCCUGGUUGACUCCCCCUCAUUCACCAUGGUGGGUCUCUAGACAUGAGGCCACCCCAGGCCCUGCACGUGAGUCAGCUGAUGGGAUAGCGUUCAGUCUUAGCCCUUUGAGCAUGGGCCAGCCUGGACAUGAGGCUCUUGAAGCUGCAGGGCUUGGUGCCUGAGCCUCUGGAGAAGUGCUGCUGCAAACUGGAGAGGAGACAGUGGAGGCAGCUUCCGGAGGAAAGCUGGAGAGAUGCCAGGAGUGCACGGCAGGCAGCCCUGGCUCUCAGGGGAGGGUUGCAACUCUGUCCAGAAGGGAUUAUUAACCGUUCUCAGGUGGCGUCUUAGCCUAUCAAGACCUGGGCAUCCUGGCCCAGUCCUCUUGGCAGUUCCUCUAAGAGACUAGUCGUGUUCUCCCGAGACAACCCGGGAUCGAUCCCGUCUCACAGCCCCAUGCAGGGUCGGCAAUGCUGCCCAGGCUCCGGUUCUCUCGCACCUGAGAUCUCCGUGUUAGGAAGGAGGCUUCUCCUGCCUGACACACCCGGCCUUCUGUGCAACAUGCCGUUUGGUCUGAAUUCAUCAAAGAACCCAAAGCUGAGCUGGGCUCAGGACUGACGUUAGAGCUGCACACACUGGCAUCUCACUGUGAGGAAACGGGGCCAACCAGACCAUGUCCCUAGAGUCCCAAAUCCCAGGUUCAUAUCCCCACUACACUUUCUUCUGACUGACAGCUCGCCCAGGCUUGGGUGGUGGGUAAAACCGGAGGGAGACGGAGGCAGUGCCGGGUGCCUCUGGAAUGCAUCCACCAGGGCCUCUCAGGGGCAAGAGAGGGAAUACCCAUUCAACCCGGAUUAGAGCAUGCAGGAGCCUUCCCGACUCCUUUCACCAGCCAGAAUGAGCAGGACUGAGAGGCUGAAAAUGUCCACAUCCAGUUUUCCUGGUCCAUCUCCGGGCUCAUUGUCCCUUGAUUCGUUUAUGUGAUGACAGCGCCUGUGUUCUUUUACAUAAUUCCAGCCCCUGUGUUAGUUUAUAUUAGGACAGUCCCUUCACUAGCUUAUCUAGGGGCGGGGUCUUCCCUGCAGGUGGCCACUCCACCUCCAGCCCACACCGAAGGACUCAGAUCUAGCAAUAAAGGAGCUCGUUCUGGGACCACCCACACCAGUCUUAGGACUCUGAUUGGACCCACACAGGUCACGUGCACGUUGUGAACCAACCACUAUUGAGUUCAGGGGCUCGGGACUGUGAUUGGCCCUGCCAGGAAACCAACAUGACAAUCAGAGGCCGUUAGUGCAGAGGGGCAAGCCUGGCACCACAAGGUGGGGAAGCUUGCUGUUGGCUCCCUCACUACCUGUCCUGGCUGGCUGAGUUCCUGGGAACUGGGAGGUCACAGAGGUGCCGCCCCUUCCUGAUACCCACAAGGAAACAGUGUAGCUUCUCAUUCCCCAAGUGCCCUAGAGCCUGUGUAGGGGCCCAAGCCCUGGGCGGGACCAUGGGAACAGGACCGUGGGAACAAGACCAUGGGAACAGGACCAUGGGAACUGGAUCGUGGGACCGAGACCGUGGGAACGGGACCAAGGGAACAGGACAGCCUGCAGGGCUGGAUCCCCGGCUGAGACCCCACUCAGUGAUACACCUGGCCUCCUAUGUGGAGAGGAGGGCUCAGCCCCAGUGGGAGUCAGGGUCCCGGACUGCCCUGUUCUUGGGUCCUGCCUGUGAAUUCUAGGGACUCAAGUCCAAUUUGCUCUUUUGUCCUGGAGGGAUUUCCAGCUGUGAUUCCCGGAAGAAGUGGGUGGUGGGUUUUACCUGCGUGACUCCAGAGGUCGUGUUACUUCAUCCCAGGCACUGCACCUGUCUCCUGGAUCUGAUUUGCUUCUCAUUUGUCUGUGCCCUGCCUCUGGCUACUGGGGACUGUAGACAGUGAGAGGCGUAGGGAAGCUCAGGCUGAGAAUGGAGCCAUUUCCCAGCAUCACCCUCACUCUCAGGAAAGGGUGUGGAGCUCUAGAGAAUGGUGGUGGGGGUGCCAUCUGACAGAAAGCUGUCCUUGCUCUGGUGAGACAUCUCUGACCUUUGGGAACCAGCCCUCCUCAACUAUCAUCCUACCUGGGGCACAUAGCCCAGGCCAGGCCCAUACAUCACACACAUGCGACCACAGUACCUGGCACCUGGCUCAGGGGUGAGCACAGGGUGUGUGUGUGUGUGUGUGUGUGUGUGUGUGUGUGUGUGUGUGUGUGUGUGUGUGAGUGAUAGAGAGAGAGGAGAGAAUAUAUUCUGGGGAGGUCAGGUAGAGCCCAUUGAUCUAGCCAAGCCUGCACUUUUCAGAUACAUUAAAACAUAAAUCACUUUUUUUCCAGACCUGGUUUCUGAUUUGCCCAUGCUCUAUCUCCUUCAGCAGGCAUCCCACUGCUACAUGUCUGGGGAGCCCAGUGUGCUGGGUAGGGGUCUAGGCCCUGCCCCUGCCUGAGUGGUCUUAAGGAACCAGGUCUCCCACCAGACCUGUUCCCCCUGUGUCUCUGGGGGGCUGAGGUGAUGCUGUCUUCACCUCAUCUGCUCUGAAAGCCCAUACCCUGGUGAUUUGGGCAGUGCCCCUUCCUAUCCAGGCUGUGACUCUCUGCUUUCUCUGGAGGUUGGAACGCAGCUGGGGGAGAGGUGACCAAGAUCUAGGUGGCCCUUCCUCCUGCCUGUCCUCAGCUCCAUCCCAGACUUGAGUGGUGUGUCUUCCCAAGCCCUCUGGCCAGAGAAUUCAUGCACACCUGCAGGGGCAACCUUGGUAGCCACCCCCUGCCAUGGAGCGUGGACAAAGCCCAGGUGGGUACAGCUCUUUACUUUCCUGCAUGUGGAGGAUGCAGGUAAUGCAGCUGCCUCUGAAAACCCCAGGAUCUACACACUCCCCUAGGGACAAAGAUUCCAUCUGCUGCAGACCCCUGGCAGCUUUAGAUCAUUGGGGGUAGGGAGAUGAGAGUCUAGUGUUACAGGAAAUUUCAUUCUUUCAAAUCCAGAGUGUCCAAGAAAGUUUUAUGUAAUGAAAAGAAAAAAGUCAGGUCUGUUUCAACAGACAAACCAGAUUUAUCCAAAAAGGAAAAGGUAAAGUUCACAUGUCGUAGUCUAGGUACCUUCUCACAGGGACAUGAGAUAAUGUGGCCAUGAAAAGACUUAGGUCAGUUAAACCUGAGCUCAUGUCUUUACUCUGAAACCUUGUUGCUGUGUGACCUUGAUUGAGUUGCUUACCCUCUCUGUGCCUUUCUUGUCUGUAAAAGGGUGAAAUGGCAAGCCUUAUGAUAUGGUUUGGCUCUGUGUCCCCCCUACCCAAAUCUCAUCUCAAAUUGUAAUCCUCAUGUGUCAAGGAAGGGACCUGUAAUCCCCAUUUGAUGAGGGAGGAUGGUGAUUGGAUCAUGAGGGCAGUUUUCCCCAUGCUGUUCUCAUGAGAGUGAGUGAGUUCUCGCUGGUUGUUUGAUAAGUGUUUGGCACUUCCCCCUACUCGCUCUCUCUCUCCUGCCGCCAUGUAAGAUGUGCCUUGCUUCCUCUUCCCCUUCUG